UGGGGAAUCUUGCGCAAUGGCCGAAAGGCUGACGCAGCGACGCCGCGUGUGGGAUGAAGCAUUUCGGUGUGUAAACCACUGUUGCCCGGGACGAACAGCGCUUUUCGAGGCGCCUGACGGUACCGGGUGAGGAAGCACCGGCUAACUCCGUGCCAGCAGCCGCGGUAAUACGGAGGGUGCGAGCGUUGUCCGGAAUCACUGGGCGUAAAGGGCGCGUAGGUGGCGCGGGCAGUCAACGGUGAAAGUUCGGGGCUCAACCCUGAAUCGGCCGUCGAUACUCCCGUGCUUGAGCACUGUAGAGGCAGAUGGAAUUCCGGGUGUAGCGGUGGAAUGCGUAGAGAUCCGGAAGAACACCGGUGGCGAAGGCGGUCUGCUGGGCAGUUGCUGACACUGAGGCGCGACAGCGUGGGGAGCAAACAG
rnacentral:rRNA from 1 species